ACUAGUUGGGGUCAACUAUAUGGAAUAUGGAUCCUUUUUUCGCCAUCCAGCUCUAUUUGAAACCAACGAGUGCACCUUAUACUACAACAAAUGGCCCAUAAAAUUGUAAGGAGACUUUGACUAAAAAGAAAACUUAGAGAGAGAGACAGAGACAGAGAGAGCAUUUGUAAUAAUUCAAAACUUGGAGUCAUUGAGUAAAGCACUUCUGCAUACUGCAUCAUGAAUUACUGAGUUAGUAAACAAGUGACAACAUUUGUUUGCCAAUGUUCCUUGCAUAUGAUAGUUGCCUUGAUACAAUUCUUUUGUGGGUUGGAAAGGCGGAUGUGAGAGUGGCAGUUCUGAAAUUUUUUAACAUUUAGACGAUCACUUUGUUUCAGUCACAUUCACUAGACAGUGAUUUUUGCAAUGUUAUAAGUUGAAGUCCUUCAGAUUUUAAUCUCUUUUAUUAUGCAGCUUUAAAUAAUGGAAGCGUUUUUCCCUCUCCAUCUGAGACUUCUGGAAAUGGAGUACCUGGGCCAGAUUUUUGGUCUUGGACACCUCCUCCUGGUAUUGAGAAGACUCAAUAUGACGCUGACUUGUUGGAAGCUAAAAGAUCUUUGAUAUCUC
rnacentral:misc_RNA from 1 species